AACAAACGCUGGCGGCGUGCCUAAUACAUGCAAGUCGAACGGGGAAAGCUUUCGGGUGAGUACUAGUGGCGCACGGGUGAGUAACGCGUGGAUAAUCUGCCUUAGAGUGGGGGAUAACUAGUCGAAAGAUUAGCUAAUACCGCAUAAGACCACAAGAACUGCGGUUCAAGGGGUCAAAGGUUUUUCGCUCUAAGAUGAGUCCGCGUAAGAUUAGCUAGUUGGUAGGGUAACGGCCUACCAAGGCGACGAGCUUUAACUGGUCUGAGAGGAGGAUCAGUCAAACUGGGACUGAGACACGGUCCAGACUCCUACGGGAGGCAGCAGUAGGGAAGAUUGCACAAUGGAGGAAACUCUGAUGCAGCGACGCCGCGUGAGUGAUGAAGGCCUUCGGGUCGUAAAGCUCUGUCGCAGGGGAAUAACACAAUGAAGGUACCCUGUAAGAAAGGAUCGGCUAACUUCGUGCCAGCCGCCGCCGUAAUAC
rnacentral:rRNA from 1 species